UUAAGUUCAGCGGGUAUCCCUACCUGAUCCGAGGUCAACCUUAAGAGUUGGGGUUAUGGCAAGCAACCGCAAGACCCUGUAGCGAGAAUAAUUACUACGCUGAGAGCCGAACGGCACCGCCACUGUAUUUAGAGGCCGCCAGGAGGCGUACCCCAAUACCAAGCCAGGCUUGAUUGGUCAUAUGACGCUCGAACAGGCAU
rnacentral:misc_RNA from 1 species